CCUACGGGAGGCAGCAGUCGAGAAUCAUUCACAAUGGGGGAAACCCUGAUGGUGCGACGCCGCGUGGGGGAAUGAAGGUCUUCGGAUUGUAAACCCCUGUCAUGUGGGAGCAAAUUAAAAAGAUAGUACCACAAGAGGAAGAGACGGCUAACUCUGUGCCAGCAGCCGCGGUAAUACAGAGGUCUCAAGCGUUGUUCGGAAUCACUGGGCGUAACGCGUGCGUAGGCUGUUUCGUAAGUCGUGUGUGAAGGGCGCGGGCUCAACCCGCGGACGGCCCAUGAUACUGCGAGACUAGAGUAAUGGAGGGGGAACCGGAAUUCUCGGUGUAGCAGUGAAAUGCGUAGAUAUCGAGAGGAACACUCGGGGCGAAGGCGGGUUCCUGGACAUUAACUGACGCUGAGGCACGAAGGCCAGGGGAGCGAAAGGGAUUAGAUACCCUAGUAGUC
rnacentral:rRNA from 1 species